GUAAAAUGAAAGAGAAACCAAGGACUGAAAUAGUUAAACCUGUGAGAUUUCAGGAGAGAGUGAAGUAGUAAAUAACUCUGCCUCAGAGCAAUUUCUCCCUUGUCAUCCCUCCUCCCCUCACAGUUUGCUGUCACUAAUCCCUGUGAGCUAGACUUUGCACCACGGUCUGAGAAUCCCUCAGGUGGAGUCAGUGGGGUCCUCAUCUGAGUAAUUUGCAAUGUGUGCAGGCUGGGCCAUCAGGGCAGGCACAACCAGAGUCAUUUCAGCUCCAUGUUCUCUGGAAAAGGACUUGUCAGUAGAAUGCUGGGCACAUCUCUAGUGUUUUUGUUGUUGUUGUUUUGUCCUUCCUACAACUCUUCAUUUUCUCUCACGUUUUCCUACACUCCCACCCCACCCCGCUAUAAGAAUCAGAACAGCAGAGCUCUGAUCAGCAAUGCUGAUAUGCUUUCUUCUUUUGAGGGAUCCCACUGGACCCCAGGCAGCGUCUCUUUUGCUCUCAGUGUUCCAUCUGCAUCAAGUCUCCUCACUGAUGGCAGCUCUGGAAAGGGAGAACCCAACUCACAAAGGCAGGGAAGAAGUUGCAUCAGUGGCUGGCAGCAACAGGAGAGUCUGGUUGUGCCGAUAGCUGUGCUUUCCUGAAACAAGCUGAAGACGUGUUGGACCGGGCUUGGAGCACUGCAGCAUAUUCCAUGGAGAGAGAACCUUACUUUUUCUGCUGGUGUGGUAUUGAGAAGGGAAUUCCUCUUGAUGUGAAUGGAGAGCAGUUUUUGAACGUAUACUUUGGCACAAAAUAUACUGACUUUCUGCAGGGAUGUGCUGAACCAUGCAGCAGGAAAAGAGGAAUCCAAGCUGAGCAAAGCUGAGAGAAAAUAAAAUCAACUACAGAAGGUAAAAUGUCAGCCACCUUCCCCUUUGAAUUCUGCAAGACAUAACAGCUGAAGAGGUAAGAGCAGAUAACCAGAAAACAUGCAUCAGAGAAGCCUUUUUUGAGAACCAUUGGGUCUGCCAAGUGGUCUGGGCAGAAAAGCAGUAGCCUCGAAAGACACAUCUUUUAAAGAAGCUGAAUGAUUUUGGGACAUUGGUCUUCACUGCAGACUAAGGUAGAGAGAGAGAUGCCAUCCCACGAUGCUACUCUCUAGCAGUUAAAACUGAGGAACUGUUGGGCUUGAGGUAACCAGACACCCGCAUGCCACCUGAACGCCACUGGCUUCCCUACAGAAAGGUUUGCUGCCUUUUCAGAACAGUCUCUCAUGGGAUUCUUCAUUAGUUCCUGAAUCCCAAGCAGAGGCUUAUUGCCUGGUCUGCGUGAUAGUUUCUGGAUGUUUUCCAAUGGGUUUGUAAGUAAAACUAUGCUUAAAAUAGUGGAUCUCUUUGUUUGGAAGGAAAAAUGAAGCCCUUUUUUUUUUUUUUUUUAAAUCUCAUUUCCUUUCUUGUAACAUACAAAUAAAGAGGUUUUAAAACCAAUUGAAACUAACGUGUCUUGAUACCCACUGAAGCUGGUUGUAAAUACGUCAUCACUUCUAUGAGGUAGAGCUAAAGCACAGCUGCCACUAAAAGAAGAGCUCAUUGAAAAUUGCACCCAUCUUCCACCAAGCAUUAAAGGCUUUUG
ensembl:lncRNA